CAAAACAACGCGGUAUAAACAUUCUGCUCCCGAGCCAUCCGAGUCAUUGUCUGAGUCAUCAGAAGACCAAUUGGCGCGGCAGUGGAGAGACUUGUCUCCUGGAUGGUAUGAGGCAGACUGGCAGAGCGGAGGGUGAUGGAGGUCGGCUGGCGGGUCUCUGUCUCUCGGCCCCGGCUGAUGAGAGGCAGGGAUAGGAGUACUUGCCCUUCUCCGCAAAGUCUCUUUCCCCUCUCUCUGGGUCUUCAGGGUGUGGAGCUCCGCCUGGGCGUUCACCAGCUCUGCCUUCACCCCCCUCAGCUGCUCAUGGAGACCUGGCAAGCAGUCUCAGCCUCCUGGAGCUCUGUCUUGGCCUGCUCCAUCUGACUGUGGCUCCAGCUGUUGAAUGCAGCUAUAGAACUCUUACGGAGAAACAGGGUUUUCCUACGUCCUGGAGUGGCCUAGCCAGUCUCCAGACCUGAACCCAAUAG